AGUGAACGCUGGCGGUAGGCCUAACACAUGCAAGUCGAACGGCAGCACAGUAAGAGCUUGCUCUUACGGGUGGCGAGUGGCGGACGGGUGAGGAAUACAUCGGAAUCUACUUUUUCGUGGGGGAUAACGUAGGGAAACUUACGCUAAUACCGCAUACGACCUACGGGUGAAAGCAGGGGAUCUUCGGACCUUGCGCGAUUGAAUGAGCCGAUGUCGGAUUAGCUAGUUGGCGGGGUAAAGGCCCACCAAGGCGACGAUCCGUAGCUGGUCUGAGAGGAUGAUCAGCCACACGGGAACUGAGACACGGUCCAUACUCCUACGGGAGGCAGCAGUGGGGAAUAUUGGACAAUGGGCGCAAGCCUGAUCCAGCCAUACCGCGUGGGUGAAGAAGGCCUUCGGGUUGUAAAGCCCUUUUGUUGGGAAAGAAAAGCAGCAGGUUAAUACCCCGCUGUUCUGACGGUACCCAAAGAAUAAGCACCGGCUAACUUCGUG
rnacentral:rRNA from 1 species